UACGUAGGGGGCAAGCGUUGUCCGGAUUUAUUGGGCGUAAAGAGCGUGUAGGCGGUUUGGUAGGUCCGCUGUGAAAACUCGGAGGCUCAACCUCGAGACGCCGAUGGAAACCAUCAGACUAGAGUCCGGAAGAGGAGAGUGGAAUUCCUGGUGUAGCGGUGAAAUGCGCAGAUAUCAGGAAGAACACCCGUGGCUAAGGCGGCUCUCCAGUACGGUACUGACGCUGAGACGCGAAAGCCGUGGGGAGCGAACAGG
rnacentral:rRNA from 1 species